CUUCAUGUGAGAGACUACAUAUUAAUCAGUUUAUAAAACGUAUUCUAUUAUGUAUGAUUCAAAUGUUCUUAUUAUGGCGGAGGAGGUUGAUGUUAUCAUCAUAGCGCUGGGAUAAGUGGUCUUCGUGCAGCCAAAAGUCUAAAAGACAAAUAUGGACUCAGGGUACUCGGCCUGGAGGCAACUGAGGGAUAGAGUUGGUGGAAGAACUUUGAGUAAAGCCUCAUGUGGUUUCCCCUGUGGUUUUCAAGCUACUCACCAGGUGGUAACAGAUGGAAUAUACUGGUUUGCAUAAAGAAAGAACAGAACGGGAUUGGGUGAAAUCCACAACUCAUCCAACUUAUUUGCCAUGCCAAC